rnacentral:rRNA from 1 species
CUUACACAUGCAAGUCGAGGGGUAACAGAGAAAAGCUUGCUUUUUUGCUGACGACCGGCGCACGGGUGCGUAACGCGUAUGCAAUCUACCUUUUGCUAAGGGAUAGCCCAGAGAAAUUUGGAUUAAUACCUUAUAGUAUGAUGACUUGGCAUCAAGAUAUCAUUAAAGAUUACGGCAAAAGAUGAGCAUGCGUUCUAUUAGCUAGUUGGUGUGGUAACGGCAUACCAAGGCAACGAUAGAUAGGGGUCCUGAGAGGGAGAUCCCCCACACUGGUACUGAGACACGGACCAGACUCCUACGGGAGGCAGCAGUGAGGAAUAUUGGACAAUGGAGGCAACCCUGAUCCAGCCAUGCCGCGUGCAGGAAGACUGCCCUAUGGGUUGUAAACUGCUUUUAUACAGGAAGAAAUACCUCUACGUGUAGAGAUUUGACGGUACUGUAAGAAUAAGGAUCGGCUAACUCCGUGCCAGCAGCCGCGGUAAUACGGAGGAU